CUUCACCGAACCGAGCCACAGCGGGCGGUCCGCCGGUCGGUCCCGGCCGUAGACGGCCAACAGCGCCUGCGCCUC
rnacentral:antisense_RNA from 2 species